UCGCCCGUCAGAGUGGUUGUGAUAUGGUGCUAUUGAACGCAUAUCACAGCCAGCUUUGAUGUGCGUAA
rnacentral:pre_miRNA from 12 species